CAGCCUGUAGCUCAGCUGGAUAGAGCAACCCUCUAACUAAGGGCUAGGUCGUGGGUUCGAGUCCCACCAGGCCGU
rfam:Corynebacterium aurimucosum plasmid pET44827, strain DSM 44827